AUUUACCUUUUCCAAUGAGAUUAUUAUUUUCAUAUGUUUUCUUGUUAUUAACUAGUGUCUUUUAUUUUCAGCUUAAAGUCCCAUCAACAUUUCUUGUAAGGCCAGUUUAGUGAUGAUGAACUCCUUUAGCUUUUGCUUAUUUGGAAAACUCUUAAUCUUUCCUUCAAUUCUGAAUGAUAACCUUGCUGGGUAGAGAAUUCUUGACUGGAUUUCUUUUAUUUCAGUGCUUUCAGUAUGUCAUGCCACUCCCUUCUAGUCUGCUAAAUUUUUGCUGAAAAAUCUGCUAAGAGCCUUAUGGAAUUUCCCAUGUAUAUAAUAAGAUUUUUUUUCUCUUGCUGCUUUUAAGAUUCUCUUUUUAUCCUUAACUUUUACCAUUUUAAUUAUGAUGUCUCUUGGUGUGGUUCUCUUUGAGUUCAUCUUUUUUGGAACUCUCUGGGCUUCCUGGGCCUGGAUAUCUGUUUCCUUCCCAGAUUAGGGAAAUUUUUAGCCAUUAUUUCUUCAAAUAAUUUUUCGGGCCCUUUCUCUUUCUCUUCUCCUUCUGGAACCCCUAUACUGUGAAUGUCAUCCUACUUGAUGUUGUCCCAGAGGUCCCUUAAGGUAUCCUCACUUAAAAAAAUGUUUUUAUUUUUUAUUUUGCUGCUCUGCCUGGGUGAGAGCCAUUGCUUUGUCUUCCAGCUUGUGUAUUUGUGCUUCUACUUCAUCCAUUCUGCUUUUGAACCCUUCUGGUGUAUUUUUCAUUUCAGUUAUAACUUCUGUUUGGUACUUUCUUGUAUUUUCUAUCUUUGUUGAAGUUCUCACUGUGUUCAUCUGUUCUUCUCCUGAGUUCAGUGAGAAUCCUUAUGACUAUUACUUUGAACUCUUUAUCAGAUAGGUUCCUUAUUUCCACUUUAUUGGGGUCUUUUUCUGGGGAUUUGUCUUGUUCUUUGGUUUGGAACAUAAUCCUUUGUAUCCUCUUUUUGCCUGACUCUCUGUGUUUGUCUCUUUAUGUUAGGCAAAAUAGCUACCUCUGCCAGUCUUGAAGGAGUGGUUUUGUGGAGGAGAUGAUCUGUGGGGCUAGAAGUGCAAUCUCUCCUGGCCUCCAGAGCCAGGUGCUCAAGGGGCUUCCGUUAUGUGGGCUAUGUGCACCUGCCAGUUGUGGCAGGCCUUGGCUGCAGCUGGGUGGACAGGGCCAUGGUGUGUUCUCCUGGCUACGUUGUGGUACAGCUGCUGCAUGGGAUGUGCUGGGUUCAGGGCAUCCCCCUAGUCUGGUUGCAGUGGGCUGCUGUGCUAGGUGGGCAGGGUGUAGAGGAUGCCUACCAGUGCUAGCAGACCAGAGGGAGGACACCAAAAAUGCUCUCUCACCAGCUAGUCAGAAUGAGAUUGCAAAAAUGGCACCCACCAGCACAUCCAGCUCUGGAGACAGUCAGUGUAAGUUCCUGCCUGUCCAGCAGCCACUUUAGGAUUAGUAAGUUGGUCUCCCUCACUUAUGGUCUGGGUACUUUUCAAACUGUUCAGGGUGAGUGGGUCUGCAUGGGAGCCCUUUAAGUGCAGGUUCUCCGUUCCCACAGUUCUGUGGUUCCCUUGGACUUGAUUUUCAAAACCAGAUGUUUUGGGGGCUUGGCUCUCCAGUGUUGGACCCAAGGGUCGAGGGGUGCUGAUGGGGGAUACAGUGCUUUCACUCCUUGAGAGAAAAUUCUGUAUUUUUGGGAUCCCUUCCUCACUGUGGGUCACCGUGCCUGGGGUGGAGUCCGGGGUGAGACCGUGUCUCUGCCUCUCCUGCCCAUCUCUUAAUUUUUGUUGUGGAGGUGCUGUGCAUCUAGUUCUCAGGUUUUUUUCAGAGGAAAACUAUUCUUUAUGUAGCUGUAAAUUUGUUGUAUCUGUGGGAGGAAGUGAGUUCAGGGUCUUCCUAUGUCACCAUCUUGAACCCCUCCCCCAUUUGCAGUCUUUAAGGAUAACAUAUUUUGAUUCUUUCAAGAAGAGUACAUGACGUUUAUUAACUAUAUAAUAAAAUAAGCUGCUUUUCCAGCUGCUGCAUAGCCCUGAAGGUUAACUAUGAAAAUGACUUUUCCAGUAACUGAGUGAGCUGAACUGUUGCUUUUAAAACUCUUUUUAGUGCUUCUUUUCCAGCCUUUGAACUUUUCACUAGGCAUUAGUCAUUUUUAAUAAAAAUACGUUUUGUUUGUAGGUCUUAAUAGCAUUUUGUCCUCAUAAAAAUAUGGAAAACUUCCUGAGAUUCAAUCCAUUGUAGCUCUUAAAAAAAAAGCUUACUGGGCCUGGCUCUCCUUGAGGCCUCUGACUCCUUCUCCAUUCCACCUUACCUCGGAUCUAGUGUGACUGUUCUCUAGACUUCAUCAUUCAUGGCAAGUAAACUUCCACCUCUGAGUCUCUCAGGUUCAUGAGAUUGAUGUUUUUCUUAUUGCCCAUUCCACCAAGCCUACAUUGUAUUCUUAGUUAAACUUUCAAUUACUCAACCCUUUUAAAUCCUGUCUGUUCCAUUUCUGUCAGCUUAGCAUCCCAAACUAACCUUGUGGAGAGUCUUGCCUCCACUUUUUCGAAAACUAUGUUUCUAUCUACAAGCUUUUAUCCAUUAGAUUAUCUGGGCAAUAACUCAAAUUCAGUGUGUCCAAAAUAGAACUCAUCAUUAAUUACCCCAGAUGAGAAUGCGACCUAUGUUUAUUUUAUUUACUACUAUGUUCUCCACCUCCGUCUGGUACAUUCCAUGAAUGUUGUGUAUUUUUGUUGGAUAAAUAAAUAAAUGAAUUAUAUUUACCUCAACUAAUCUGGUUCCACUUCCUAACCUCUCUGUCUCCUUCCCAAUGUUAUCCCUUGUCAGCUGGCAGAGAGGAGAUCAAAAUCUUUUGUGUUUCAGGGUUUUAGGUCCAGUGAAGAGGAUGAAGCUUGGAAUUAUGCUUCCAAAAGGGGAGGAGGUAGAAGCCAUGCUUAAAUUGAGAUAGGUAGAAGGGGUCUAAUCCUGGAAGGAUAUGCAUUAUUUUGGGAAUUUCCUCAAGGUUGGGGAAGGGGACAAUAUUUUGGAAGUACUUUUCAUGUGGCAGAUAUAUGUGUUCAUUCUCAUGCUAAGCCUCAAAGAGGUGACAGGACCUCUGAUGGCCUGGCAGAGAUGUUUGUGUGUUUGAUUGAACAUUAGGACUCUUGGCGUUUAGCUUUUUUCUCUCCAUGCUUUUGGAGCUGCAGCAGUCAAUUACCACAGAUGUGGCACAGAAACAUAUUUUUGAUGAUGGAAUAUAUGCAAUUUUAUAUUAUAGUUUCAUUAGAUAAUAAUUUCCAUGUAGUUCCACAGUUUUAUGGUGGAAAUUAAUGAUACUGAUUGAGGGCAUAUGCUGUAACUUUGUACACUUCCUUUCUUAAUGUACGUUUAGGUUAUUUCCAUUUCUUCCCAGUUUAAAAUAAAAUUGUAAUGAUUGUUAAUAUAUGUUUUUUCUUCUUAUGGAUUAUUUUUCAAUACUUAUAUAACCAUAUUCCCCUAAAGUUUUAUUUUAAGUCUGAAUCGUUCUCUUUCCCUGAGAGUCUUUUGUUUGUGUCACGGUGUCAGUGCCUGGAAAGCUUAAUGUUCCUCCUUGCAAGUCUCUUAUAUUUUGAAAUGCGUUUUUUAUCAGACACUGACUGUGGAUUCAGUAAUUUUUUUUAAUUUAAUUUUUAUUGAGUUAGUGAUAGGUUACAAUCUUGUGAAAUUUCAGUUGUACAUUAUUGUUUGUCAGUCGUGUUGUAAGUGCACCCCUUCACUCUUUGUGCCCACCCCAUCUUUCCCCCGGUAGCCACUAAUCUGUUCUCCUUGUCUGCAUUUUUAAAUUCUUCAUAUGAGUGGAGUCAUACAGAGAUUGUCCUUAUCUAUCUGGCUUAUUUCACUUAACAUAAUCCCUCAAGGUCCAUCCAUGUUGUUGCAAAUGGGACUAUUUUGUUCUUUUUUACGGCUGAGUAGUAUUCCAUUGUAUAUAUAUAUUACAUCUUCUUUAUCCAAUCAUCUGUUGAUGGGCACUUAGGUUGCUUCCACAUGUUGGCUAUUGUAAAUAAUGCUGCGAUGAACACUGGGGUGCGUGGGAGUUUUGGAAUUGGUGACUUCAAGCUGUUUGGAUAGAUACCCAGUAGUGGGAUAGCUGGAUCAUAUGGUAGUUCUAUUUUUAAUUUUUUGAGGAAUCUCCACACUGUUUUCCAUAGUGGCUGCACCAGGUUGUGUUCUCACCAGAAGUGUAUGAGGGUUCCUUUUUCUUCACGACCUCUCCAACAUUUGUUGCUAUUUGUUUUAGUUAUUUUUGUCAUUCUAAUGGGUGUAAGGUGAUAUUUUAGUGUAGUUUUGAUUUGCAUUUCCCUGAUGAUCAGUGAUGAUGAGCAUCUUUUCAUGUGCCUAUUGGCCAUCGUAUAUCUUCUUUGGAGAAAUGUCUGUUCAUGUCUCCUGCCCAUUUUUUUUUUUUUUUUUAUUAAUGUUAUGAUAGAUUACAACCUUGUG
rnacentral:lncRNA from 1 species